AUUUAUAUAGUAUAAUUAUAAUUAUUUUUAACUUCCAAUUAAAAGAUCUAAAUUUUAGUAUAAAUA
rnacentral:tRNA from 1 species